GAGUUUGAUCAUGGCUCAGAUUGAACGCUGGCGGCAAGCCUAAUACAUGCAAGUCGAACGAAGUAGCAAUACUUAGUGGCAGACGGGUGAGUAACAUGUAGGUAUCUGCCCUUUGGCCUGGAAUAACACGAGGAAACUUGUGCUAAUACCGGAUAAGUCUUUACGGAGAAAGCUUUAUGCACCAUUGGAUGAGCCUGCACUUGAUUAGUUUGUUGGUGGGGUAAUGGCCUACCAAGACUGUGAUCAAUAGCUGAUUUGAGAGGAUGAUCAGCCACAUUGGGACUGAGACACGGCCCAAACUCCUACGGGAGGCAGCAGUGGGGAAUCUUGCACAAUGGAGGAAACUCUGAUGCAGCGAUGCCGCGUGAGUGAAGAAGGCCUUUGGGUUGUAAAGCUCUUUCGUCGGGGAAGAAAAUGACUGUACCCGAAUAAGAAGGUCCGGCUAACUUCGUGCCAGCAGCCGCGGUAAUACGAAGGGACCUAGCGUAGUUCGGAAUUACUGGGCUUAAAGAGUUCGUAGGUGGUUGAAAAAGUUGGUGGUGAAAUCCCAGAGCUUAACUCUGGAACUGCCAUCAAAACUUUUCAGCUAGAGUAUGAUAGAGGAAAGCAGAAUUUCUAGUGUAGAGGUGAAAUUCGUAGAUAUUAGAAAGAAUACCGAUUGCGAAGGCAGCUUUCUGGAUCAUUACUGACACUGAGGAACGAAAGCAUGGGUAGCGAAGAGGAUUUGAUACCCUCGUAGUCCAUGCCGUAAACGAUGUGUGUUAGACGUUGGAAAUUUAUUUUCAGUGUCGCAGCGAAAGCGAUAAACACACCGCCUGGGGAGUACGACCGCAAGGUUAAAACUCAAAUGAAUUGACGGGGACCCGCACAAGUAGUGGAGCAUGUGGUUUAAUUCGAAGAUACGCGCAGAACCUUACCAACACUUGACAUGUUCGUCGCGACUCUAAGAGAUUAGAGUUUUCGGUUCGGCCGGACGAAACACAGGUGCUGCAUGGCUGUCGUCAGCUCGUGUCGUGAGAUGUUGGGUUAAGUCCCGCAACGAGCGCAACCCUCACUUUUAGUUGCCAUCAUUAAGUUGGGCACUCUGAAAGAACUGCCAGUGAUAAGCUGGAGGAAGGUGGGGAUGACGUCAAGUCCUCAUGGCCCUUACGUGUUGGGCUACACACGUGCUACAAUGGUAUCUACAACAGGAAGCAAGACUGCGAGGUCAAGCAAAUCCUUAAAAGAUACCUCAGUUCGGAUUGCACUCUGCAACUCGAGUGCAUGAAGCUGGAAUUACUAGUAAUCGUGGAUCAGCGUGCCACGGUGAAUGCGUUCCCGGGUCUUGUACACACCGCCCGUCACACCAUGGGAGUUGGUUCUACCUUAAGGCAAGGUUUAAUACCCUUGACCACGGUAUAGUCAGCGACUGGGGUGAAGUCGUAACAAGGUAACC
rnacentral:rRNA from 1 species